GAUGAAGAACGCAGCGAAAUGCGAUAAGUAAUGUGAAUUGCAGAAUUCAGUGAAUCAUCGAAUCUUUGAACGCACCUUGCGCCCUUUGGACUUCUGAAGGGCAUGCCUGUUUGAGUAUCAUGAACACCCCAACUCCUUAUGGUCUUCCAUGAUGAGCUUGGACUUUGGGGGUUUUGCUGGCCUACAGUCAGCUCCUCUAAAAUAAAUCAGCUUACCGGUGUUUGGUGGGUAUCAUGGGUGUGAUAACUAUCUACGCUCGUGGUUUUCCACCAGGUAACCUUCAGCAGUGGAGGUUCACUGGAGCUCAUAGAUGUCUCUCCUCAGCGAGGACAGCCCUUUGAAUGUUUGAUCUCAAAUCAGGUAGGACUACCCGCUGAACUUAAGCAUAUCAAUAAGCGGAGGA
rnacentral:misc_RNA from 1 species